rnacentral:rRNA from 1 species
GACGAACGCUGGCGGCGUGCUUAACACAUGCAAGUCGAGCGGUAAGGCCCUUUCGGGGGUACACGAGCGGCGAACGGGUGAGUAACACGUGGGUGACCUGCCCUUAGCUCUGGGAUAAGCCUGGGAAACUGGGUCUAAUACCGGAUAUGACUCCAUGACGCAUGUUGUGGGGUGGAAAGCCUUGUGCGGCUAGGGAUGGGCCCGCGGCCUAUCAGCUUGUUGGUGGGGUGAUGGCCUACCAAGGCGACGACGGGUAGCCGGCCUGAGAGGGCGACCGGCCACACUGGGACUGAGACACGGCCCAGACUCCUACGGGAGGCAGCAGUGGGGAAUCUUGCGCAAUGGCGAAAGCCUGACGCAGCGACGCCGCGUGAGGGAUGACGCCU